GUAGGUGAACCUGCGGAAGGAUCAUUACAGAUUGGAAUACCGUUCGGAGUCGUAAGGCUCCAAAUGGAUACAUACGUUCGGAGUCGUAAGGCUUCGUAACACAUUUACGCUUGGUUUGUUUGUCAGAGUAAUCUAUACCGAAUACCAGACAACUUUUAACAAUGGAUCUCUUGGCUCUU
rnacentral:misc_RNA from 1 species